CAGAUGACAAUACAAGAAAAUCCACCAAGUGCAUCAAUUUAACAAAGUCAUAUGCAGGAUCUGAGCCGUUAAAACUACAAGAUACUGUGGUUGAACUUGAGAAUGAAAGAAAUCUUAUGAUGGUUGCAUUGACACGAACAGGCAUACCAUGAAUCCACGCAUGAUCGCAGCAGAAGCUGAAUAAGGUCCUGUGAUAGAAUUUUGAUGAAUAAUAUUUGACUAAGAGUUUGGAGCGGCUUAUUCACCUUUUACGCCAAAGUAUCGAGAAUACAAACAAGAUUGAAGGAGAUGUUGAACGAGCACCUGUUAUACAGCUGCAAUUGAAAUUGAUCUGACGAGCCCAGCUCCUCGACGCUCACAGAAGAAUCUACUUGGACCAGAAAUCGUAAAAAGUUUGACAAUACGGCACGAGAGAACACAACCGACUGACGUCAUCCAAAAAUUUUAUUUCUGCAUAUUUAAACGCUCACUUCCUCGGCCGGCUAAUGAUUAUUAGCUAAUCAAAAUUGUUUAUUAUGGCGAUACAGUUCUUUUCAUAUAUAUUCAAAACUAUAAAAGUGAUUUUGUAAAAGGAAACUGGGGCUAAUGAUCCAAAAUAAAGAAUUACCUUUGGUGUGGUCUGAUUCCAAUACGAAAGAUUCGGAUUCGGACCGGGGCCCACCAGUUGAGUAGCCCUGGUAUAUUCUUAUUGCAGUAGUAAAGAAACCGGACUUAUAUUCGCGAUUAUGUGAUAAAAUAAACUACUGACUGACAUACAGUUAGACUACCUGCCAAAACGAGCAUUAACUCUACAUUUAUCAAACAGACGAACAUUCGCAUAAUCUAAGUAUCAGUUCGGCAAGUGAAUUGCUAAUUUUAUUCAGCUUUUUUACAUCCAAGUUGUGUAAAGGGACUGAAACCUAUGGGCAGGGAAAUAUUCACUUGGCUAACACAGACAGUCCCCGAACUCUUAAUAGAACUAAAAUAAG